rnacentral:misc_RNA from 1 species
UACGUAGGGGGCAAGCGUUGUCCGGAACUAUUGGGCGUAAAGCGCGCGCAGGCGGUUCCUUAAGGCUGAUGUGACAGCCCACGGCUCAACCGUGGAGGGUCAUUGGAAACUGGGGAACUUGAGGACAGAAGAGGAGAGUGGAAUUCCACGGGUAGCGGUGAAAUGCGUAGAUAUGUGGAGGAACACCAGUGGCGAAGGCGACUCUCUGGUCUGUUUCUGACGCUGAGGUGCGAAAGCGUGGGUAGCGAACAGG